GAUAUACUUCAACUGGACUUAACGGUGGUAUAUAAACUGGAAAGCGCAGUACUUCAACAGUAGUCUCCAUGCUAAAUGCCGACGAGGACCUUUGCGAUUUGAAAUCUAUAAGAUUUCGCUGUAUAGUAAAAAAACCGAAUGAAGAUAUCUAAUUUAAUUUGGAAAAUGUCAAUUAAACGGCGCUAGCGCAGGCAAGUCGCACACUGUGAACCGCUUAAGCUCGAAAAUCAGGAGUAGAUAUGUACCUUUUCGCUUUUGACAACUUGGUUUUAUUUCUGGGAAAUUAAUUUUAUUAUUGCGCGAAAUCUAAGUAUCGGAGUUUUUUUUUUAAUUUUAAUUCAAAAACUAGCGUUUUAUAGCAAGUGCAGCCGCUGCAAGUCAGUUUUGCGUGCUAGGAUCUCUGUGUGUCCGUCCACGUUUGACUGGUGCAGUCCACUCGGAACUGCAACUGCAGCGAUUAAUUUGGUCAAGUGCAGCCGUUGCAUACUCAAAAGUCAGGAUCACUUUGUGUGUCCGUCCACGUGCAAGUUCAGCCUCAUUGGUUACAGGAUUCGCAUCUGAUCUCAGGUACAACUUUUUCCUUAACGCAAGCUCAACUUCGUCGUAGCGCAAGUGCAAGUGCAGCCCAAUCGUAACACAAGUUCAUCGUCGUCCUCUGGAAAGUGUUUUAUACUAUAUCAGUGUUUUGUAUGUAAGCUUUAAUAAGUUGAAAAAGUCUAGAGUUCAAAACAAAAAACA